CACCCUUCUCCUCCUGUAUAAUCUAUUUCAGUUGAGACCUCAUACUAUGACUUCCCACAUACUUUUCCCAUGGUCCCCUUGCAAAACCUCCCUUACACAUUCAGCGCUUAAGGAAAAUUGAGUGGUAAAGAAUGACCAGGCAAUACUCUUUGAAAAUUGGAGACCAUUUGCAGCUGCUCUCUGCUGAGGAAAGUGAAUAAUAGGGUGCCCUCAAGGAAUUUCAAAGAGAGCGACAGGAUGAGAUGACAGCUUUUCUCAUGGCCCUGUUAAUAGUUUUUGCUAACAAGGAAAGGGGAAGGGAAUAAUUCUUUGCAAUAAUAUUGACUUCUUCUGUGAUCUUGGGAAUUUGGCUCACCAAACCUCCCAGUCCUGGAAUGAUGACUGCCCUAAGAAGAGAAAGAAGGGAGAGUCAUUAAAAAGAAAGAAAAAGAUCACAGAUUGGAGAAGAAAAUGAGCGCAUGUAACUGGGGCAUUAUGUUCAACUGGCC
rnacentral:lncRNA from 1 species